AUCACUAAGCGGAGGAAAAGAAAAUAACGAUGAUUCCCGUAGUAACGGCGAGUGAACGAGGAUUCAAGCUCAGCGCCGAAGCCACCGUUCGUGAAGGACGGCGGGCAAUGUGGCGUUCGGGUAUCAGUCAUUCCUCAUCGUUUUGCCGGUGCCCAAGUCCCCCUGACUGGGGCCAUCGCCCAACGAGGGUGCUAGGCCCGUGCGGCACUCGGCUUGCGAGGGGACGACUCAUUCCCUAGAGUCGGGUUGCUUGGGAGUGCAGCCCUAAGUCGGUGGUAAACUCCACCUAAAGCUAAAUACGGCCACGAGACCGAUAGCAAACAAGUACCAUGAGGGAAAGUUGCAAA
rnacentral:rRNA from 1 species